UUGGAGGGCAAGUCUGGUGCCAACAGCCGCGGUAAUUCCAGCUCCAAUAGCGUAUAUUAAAGUUGUUGCAGUUAAAAAGCUCGUAGUUGAAUUUCGGGAUUGGCGUGUCGGUCGUGCCUUACGGGGUAUGAACUGGCGUCGUCGAUUUCCCACCUUCUGGAGAAUCACGAUGCCCUUAAUUGGGUGUCGUGUGGAACCAGGACCUUUACCUUGAAAAAAUUAGAGUGUUUAAAGCAGGCAUUUUGCUCGAAUACAUUAGCAUGGAAUAAUAAAAUAGGACGGCUUGGUUCUAUUUUGUUGGUUUCUAGGAUCACCGUAAUGAUUAAUAGGGAUAGUUGGGGGCAUUAGUAUUCAAUUGUCAGAGGUGAAAUUCUUGGAUUUAUUGAAGACUAACUACUGCGAAAGCAUUUGCCAAGGAUGUUUUCAUUAAUCAAGAACGAAAGUUAGGGGAUCGAAGACGAUCAGAUACCGUCGUAGUCUUAACCAUAAACUAUGCCGACUAGGAAUCAGACGAUGUUAAUUUUUUAAUGACUCGUUUGGCACCUUACGGGAAAC
rnacentral:rRNA from 1 species